CAGGCAACGAGAGAAGUAAAAACAUCUUAAUCUCACUUUUAAAGCCACUACCUGUGUCUCCCAGUCAUGAUUGUCCCACAAGGUAAAGAGCUGAAGUCCCCAACCCAAGACGCCUUUCCUUCAGAGAGAAACAUUUUCCAGAACUUCUAUGGCCAAAAGCCAAAAGAUUGAAAAUUAUUUGUUUCAAGUGGAAACAGCCUACAGCUAGAGCCUGAAGCACAUCUGCACCCAACCUGCAGCUUGGAGCCAAACCUAGCAAGAGCCCAGCCCAGAUCAACGAAACCCUAGAUGACCCGCAGAUCUGUCCCAGAUGAGUUCAUGUUGGAUGCUUGGUUUAGUGGUUGUUAAUUAAUUUAUUUGCUCAUCGUGUGAAUUAUACCUUAAAUACACUGUGUUUAUUCUCCUUGAAAACUAUUCUGUAUUCUUUCUUAAUUCAGACUCAU